rnacentral:rRNA from 1 species
ANNNUGCAGUCGAACGAUGAAGCCCUUCGGGGUGGAUUAGUGGCGAACGGGUGAGUAACACGUGGGCAAUCUGCCCUUCACUCUGGGACAAGCCCUGGAAACGGGGUCUAAUACCGGAUAACACCGGCUUCCGCAUGGGAGCUGGUUGAAAGCUCCGGCGGUGAAGGAUGAGCCCGCGGCCUAUCAGCUUGUUGGUGGGGUAAUGGCCUACCAAGGCGACGACGGGUAGCCGGCCUGAGAGGGCGACCGGCCACACUGGGACUGAGACACGGCCCAGACUCCUACGGGAGGCAGCAGUGGGGAAUAUUGCACAAUGGGCGAAAGCCUGAUGCAGCGACGCCGCGUGAGGGAUGACGGCCUUCGGGUUGUAAACCUCUUUCAGCAGGGAAGAAGCGAAAGUGACGGUACCUGCAGAAGAAGCGCCGGCUAACUACGUGCCAGCAGCCGCGGUAAUACGUAGGGCGCAAGCGUUGUCCGGAAUUAUUGGGCGUAAAGAGCUCGUAGGCGGCUUGUCACGUCGGGUGUGAAAGCCCGGGGCUUAACCCCGGGUCUGCAUCCGAUACGGGCAGGCUAGAGUGUGGUAGGGGAGAUCGGAAUUCCUGGUGUAGCGGUGAAANNGCGUAG